AAGUCGUAACAAGGUUUCCGUAGGUGAACCUGCGGAAGGAUCAUUACAAAAGUUAUGGGGAUUUGGACUUGCCUCUCGGGGCUGAGUCCUUUCCUUUCAACUUUCAACCACUUGUGAAUUUGUAAUAAUACAUGACUCUUUUCCUUCUGGAAAGAGUUGUGUCAUUCAACCAAUUGUCUGUUAACGAAGUCUGAUUGUAACUAUUGGUGUUUAAAGACACUAGUAAUUAUAAAACAACUUUUGGCAACGGAUCUCUUGGCUCUC
rnacentral:misc_RNA from 1 species